GAGUUUCCUGACAACGCUCUCCAGUGAGCCAUCAGUUUCUUCACGACCCUGGGGACAUGCAGGCUCCGUUUUCAAGUACAUCCUGGGGCUUGGCAUGUGUGACAAAAGGCAGAGGAUGCAAUUAUUGAAUAGUUAAGAUGAAGUUGUGCUGAGUUUGAGUGCGCCCUCAAUCCGAUGACUGAGAUCCUUAUAAGAAAGGGAAGAGGAUGCAGAGACAAACCCACAUGGAGACAGAGGCAGAGACUGGAGCAAUGCUGCCACAAGCCAAGGAUGCCAAGCACCAUCGGCCGCAACCAGAAGCCAGAAGGGAGGCCUGGCAUGAUUUCUCCCUGGAGCCUUUGAGACAGCAGGCUGAUACCUUUUCACCUUCAGUACUCCUCUGAACCUGCUUAAUUCACCUCUGACUGAAGGUGAUGAAGACAGCGGAAUGGGCAGAGCUCUAAGACGUGGCAUGGGUCCCACUCAAAACAAGCAGAUCUGAGAAGAUCGGGAAGGACCCAGCUGCCCCCGAGCGGGCCACGGCAUCUGUUCUGGGAGGCUCUUGGCUCUGACUGCCGCCCCUGGUUAUGAAAGUUGGAUGGUGCCUGGGAACCCUCUGCUGGCUCCUCUCAUGCAAUUUCCCAGGCCUUCUCAGCUCUCCCAAAGCAGCCGGGUUACCAAGCAGCCCAAAGAGUGAAAUGUGCUCGAUGUGGGCCAGGGAUCCUGAGCUGCCUGGAUCUCCCUCUGACAUUUCCCAGCCACGUGGGAGGAGAGAUGGGACGAUUUGCAAGUGGCUCACCCUCCUUUGGAGAAGAUAAAUGUCAGAACUGAAAGCAACUGGGUACUGAUAUAGAGCUGCCUGCUCUUAAAUAA
ensembl:lncRNA